UUCUAGAAGUCUAGAAGUGGAUUUCCUCCUCUGGAAGAACGUAAUCUACUGCUUUUAUGGCUAUGUGGCUGUCAUUAUCGCGACAACUCGUUAUCGGGUGAUUGCAUGUGAAUCCCCGAAUUCUUGUGAGUUCUUGCGUUUCCAGCUGUUCGAUAUCCGCCACAAAAUUCUUCUCAAAAACGCAUCUGGUAGGAACUGGCAGACGGCGAAAAAUGCCACCGUUCCGCAGUGGAGCUGUUCUGGAUGUGUUGGAAAUUGGGGGUCAGACCUCUCCCUCUCUACCCAUGAGAUCCCAAGGUGCUCAAAUGCCACCUGGGAUAUAAAAUCCCUCCAGCAAGCCCUUAGCCUACCUUGAGGUCUCCUCCCCUCUGGACACACCAGGGAGGUGUCCAGGAGGCAUCUAGGAUGACUCCUUUCAAUGAGAAGAAGCAGAAGCUCUCCUCCAAGCUUCUAACCCUCCAUGGAUGAACCCAGCCACUCUUCUUGAGGAAACUCAUUCAGCCACUUGUCUCCACAUUCUCAUUGUUUUAGUCACUACCUCUCCAUAGGUGAGGGUUGGAACACGGAUCAUGGAUUUUCUAGUAAGAACCCAUGGCAACAGAUUCAGAGGUGCAGGUUCUCAUUCCGGACACUUUGCACUCAGCUGAAAACUGCCCCAGUGUUUUUUGGAGGUCCCAGCCUUGAGAGGUGGAUCUUUGAGGCCCCCAAACUGCAGACCCUCUUCCCUGACUGCACCUCGACAUCUUGUACAUGAACAUCACAGACAGAAUCGGUCACAAGGGACUAACUCGGCAAAGGCCAACAUGCAUGCAUGACUCGAACAUUGUCCCAUGUUUCUUUUCUCUUUUUGAACCGGCUUUCAUACAUGGACCACUUCAGAAGGGUUUAGAGAGUGACCUGCUGGUCUUGCCUUGACUGUGAUAAAUUCUAAAGUAAUCCACCUCUGAGACCCUUCCCUUGGAUUUGAGCUCAGAGUUUGUCCUUUCCCUGUCAGGCAUGCUCUAAUCUGCCCCAGAAACCCCACACAGGGUAACUGUGGAGGUGCAAUCCACCCUCACUCUUAUCCUAGCAUGUGCUGAGUCUGUCAAUAAUAAUAAAUGACAACUUUAAGUGAAUCCCCCCACGCAGAUGCGAGAAUAUGUGCUCUGAAGUGACUACAGAGCCUUAAUAUCCCACUGGACAGAGUCACUAGUCGGUCUUGCCUUAUUGAAAUGAAUUCUGUGUGUCAAUUUAGCCCUAAACAACCUCCCGUGGGUUUUAAAUCCAGGAUAGAAAGACAGAGUUCUAGCUAUGAGUUGGAACAAUGGAUUAUUUAUUACUUUUUAUGAAGUACAAACUCAAAUAUAAAGAGACAGGGCUGGCAGCAGCAGC